UACGUAGGGGGCUAGCGUUGUCCGGAAUCACUGGGCGUAAAGGGCGCGUAGGUGGUGACCUAAGCGUGCGGUGAAAGCCCGAGGCUCAACCUCGGGUCGGCCGUGCGAACUGGGUCACUGGAGCAGAAUAGAGGCAGGUGGAAUUCCGGGUGUAGCGGUGGAAUGCGUAGAGAAUCCGGAAAACACCGGUGGCGAAGGCGGCCUGCUGGGUUCUGGCUGACACUGAGGCGCGACGAGCGUGGGGAGCAAACAGG
rnacentral:rRNA from 1 species